rnacentral:rRNA from 1 species
CCUACGGGUGGCAGCAGUGAGGAAUAUUGGUCAAUGGCCGGAAGGCUGAACCAGCCAUGCCGCGUGAAGGUCAGUGCCCUAUGGGCGUUAAACUUCUUUUGUGCGGGAGCAAUAAUGGUCAUGUGUGGCAAGACGAGAGUACCGUACGAGUAAGCAUCGGCUAAUUCCGUGCCAGCAGCCGCGGUAAUACUGGGGAUGCAAGCGUUACCGGGAUUUCUUGGGUUUAAAGGGUGCGUAGGCUGUGAGGUAAGUCAGCGGUGAAAUGCCCCCGCUCAACGGGGUGAAGUGCCAUUGAUACUGCCUAGCUGGAAUGCGGAUGCCGUAAGAGGAAUGUGUGGUGUAGCGGUGAAAUGCAUAGAUAUCA